UACGUAGGGUGCAAGCGUUAAUCGGAAUUACUGGGCGUAAAGCGUGCGCAGGCGGUUCUAUAAGACAGAUGUGAAAUCCCCGGGCUCAACCUCGGGAACUGCAUUUGUGACUGUAGAGCUGGAGUACGGCAGAGGGGGAUGGAAUUCCGCGUGUAGCAGUGAAAUGCGUAGAUAUGCGGAGGAACACCGAUGGCGAAGGCAAUCCCCUGGGCCUGUACUGACGCUCAUGCACGAAAGCGUGGGGAGCAAACAGG
rnacentral:rRNA from 1 species